ACCCUUAAAAAGGAUUCUUUAUAUCUCUUUUACAGAAAUCUUCGAGUAGCGUGCCAAAAGCAACUUCACACAGCUCCCGUGAAACUCUUCGAUAACCUUCGUUACGCCAUUCACUGAGAUUGUUAAAACGCCUUAGGUUUAUUCAUUCAAAAAAUUGGAAUAAUCAAUAAAUAAGCAAUUUUAAAUGGAAUUAAAUAAUAAUUGAUCAAUGAUAUUACUAAAAUGGGAGAUUUUGAAUAAAUUUGAGCUAGUAUAAACAUGCCCUGUUAUGCGAUAAUCGCAUAAAACAUAGUUUGAAACUAUGGAUAAUGAAGAAUAACAAAUGAGAUGGAACCGUUCAAAAAG